rnacentral:rRNA from 1 species
UACGUAGGGUGCGAGCGUUGUCCGGAAUUAUUGGGCGUAAAGAGCUCGUAGGCGGUUUCGUAAGUCGGAUGUGAAAACUCAGGGCUCAACCCGGAGACGCCAUCCGAUACUGCGAUGACUGGAGUCUGGUAGGGGAUCACGGAAUACCUGGUGUAGCGGUGAAAUGCGCAGAUAUCAGGUGGAACACCGAUGGCGAAGGCAGUGAUCUGGGCCAGUACUGACGCUGAGGAGCGAAAGCGUGGGGAGCAAACAGG